rnacentral:lncRNA from 1 species
AGGGAUUAGGUUACCUCAACAAAGCCAAGUUAUGAAGAUCUUGAUUUUAUUCUCUUUUCUAUGAUAUCAAUCUUAUCGAUCGUGGCAUGACUGAGUUUUCUACUGAACUUCCCUUCAUCAGGGCGUGCUCAAAUUGAAUUUGGUAGAGGAGUGUCAAUGCGGGUUUGCACUCCUAGCAGUGUUCUUCUGCUAUUCCUCUUUAUCGGCC